UGGGGAAUCUUGGACAAUGGGCGCAAGCCUGAUCCAGCCAUGCCGCGUGGAUGAUGAAGGCCUUAGGGUUGUAAAAUCCUUUCGUGGGGGACGAUAAUGACGGUACCCCAAGAAGAAGCUCCGGCUAACUUCGUGCCAGCAGCCGCGGUAAUACGAAGGGGGCUAGCGUUGUUCGGAUUUACUGGGCGUAAAGGGCGCGUAGGCGGCAUGACAAGUCACUUGUGAAAUCUCUGGGCUUAACCCAGAACGGCCAAGUGAUACUGUCGCGCUAGAGUGCAGAAGGGGCAAUCGGAAUUCUUGGUGUAGCGGUGAAAUGCGUAGAUAUCAAGAGGAACACCUGAGGUGAAGACGGGUUGCUGGGCUGACACUGACGCUGAGGCGCGAAAGCCAGUGGAGCAAACGGGAUUAGAUACCCUUGUAGUCCCUGAGCGGGCUGGCAAGGCGCAU
rnacentral:rRNA from 1 species